rnacentral:rRNA from 1 species
UACGAAGGGGGGCUAGCGUUGUUCGGAAUUACUGGGCGUAAAGCGCGCGCAGGCGGCCAUUCAAGUCAGGGGUGAAAGCCCAGAGCUCAACUCUGGAACUGCCCUUGAAACUGUAUGGCUUGAGUAUGAGAGAGGUGAGUGGAAUUCCCAGUGUAGAGGUGAAAUUCGUAGAUAUUGGGAAGAACACCGGUGGCGAAGGCGGCCACCUGGACCAACACUGACACUGAGGCACGAAAGCGUGGGGAGCAAACAGG